rnacentral:lncRNA from 1 species
CUGUGAGCCAAAGAAACCGCUUUUCUUUAUAAAUUACCCAGUUUCAGGUAUUUCCUUGCAGCAACAUGAAAGACUAAUACAGUGGGGCCCACCAAGCUGCCUCGUAGCCGGAGGGAAUCUCUUUGGCCAACAGUUGGCCUUGAGAAUGUCAAACAGACAUGCAGAAUCUAAGAAAACACAGAACGGGCAGACAGAGAGUGGGCUUUUCCUUCAUGUUGGGUAUUAGAAAAGGGGAGAUUCCCAUUCCUGAGGCUGUGUCAGGGUGUGGGGGGUGUGGCCUGCCCUGGCCUGAGGUGUGCUCCUUUUAAGACUUCCCACCCAUUGGUCAAAGCGUCCACCCUGAAUGGACCAGGUUGCUGGUGGACACUGAUCCCUGUGGCCAGGGCCUCCGAGCAUUUGGUGUUCAGCUCAUCGGGGACUCUGUGGACACCAGAGGGCAGAAUGGGGUCUGUCUGCCCAAAAGCCCCGUGGGGAGUGAGCGUGAAUUACCCCAGAGUCUGUGUAGGGAAGCCUCCUGGAGCCUGGUGCUUUCUCCUUUACAGUGGCUUUCAGUUUGUGGAUUUUUCUGAAGUUAUUGGCCUUGGAGCUUGCGUCAAGUUUCCCGAAGACCACUCCCAGUGUUGGUGAUUUUCUCAGGAGGACUCACAGCCCUCAUCACGUGGUGCUAUCCUCACAGCAUGGUUCAUUACUACGAAAGGACACAGAGCAAGCCAGCAGGGGAAAGUCACGUGGGGCAGAGUCCGGGGAUCUGGGCGCAAGUUCCCAAGAGCCUGUCCUGGUGCAGCUACACAGGACAAGGUUAUUUUCUCCAGUGUCAGGUUAUGACAACACUUGUGAACUGUCAGCUACAGGAUACUCUUAGGGACUCAGCGCCCAGGGUUUUUACUAGGGCGUAGCAUGUACCCAAAUUCUAGGCUCCCUGAGGGAAAGCAGGUGUUCAGUGGAAAGCACACUUGUUAAAAGUGGCUGAGGCACAGGGAGCCACCCUUACCAUCUGGGGACGCUGGGGAUCCUGCAGCCCACUGUGCAGGGAUGGGGGUGCCGUGCUGCAUCCCAGGGCUGAGGAGGAUUGUUUGGCUGGGGGGCUCUGUCAGUAGAAUGCAGAGGGGAGGGUCCCUCCUGAUGUUCCCAGGAGUGAAGGCAGCUCUUCAUAGUGAGUCUAGUGUUGGGCCCUGCACUAACACAAGCAGGUGCCCGGCAGGCGUUUGCCGAGGGAGGGGAAGAAUGAAGCAAUGUAUGGUGGGGUUUCUAGAACCCUCCCUGGGGAUGGCUUCUCCGUGGAGGGUAGUGAAUCCCACAGCCCCACAAGGCCCUCAGCUGGGGUGAGUUUCAGGCCACAGCGGCUCACUGGCCCUGUGACCUGAUGUGAGGGCCACCAGGGCAGGGCUUUUAGAUGCUUCCCCUGUGCUGUGUUCUCGGAGGCCUGAACACAGAGGCUCACUAAAUACUUGCUUGUUGAGAAAGGCCAAUCCCUAAACAAACCACUGUGAUGGGGGCUUAGCAGAUGCCAGUUGACUUAGCUUGUCCCCACUGUCCUUGGAGCCUGAGGCAAAAGGAGCUUCCCCUCAUGCACCAGAGACCCUUCCCUUCUGUGGGAAGAGGAAAGGGUUACCUGGGAGACUCUGUCCUGUUCUGGCACAGGAAGGGGGAAAGGACAUGGCUAGCAAGCUUGGCGGGGGCCACUGCAUGUGGCUUGGGCUGCUGCCCAUAGGCAGGAUGUCCUCUGUGGCCAGGGGCUGGCUGAUUUCCGCCUUGUGUUUUUGCCUCUUUGCUCUUCUGGGAGGAGGAAGCUGGAUCUGGGAGUGGGGCAAGGGGAGGCUGGCGGCUGCAGGAGGGAUGCCUGAAACCCAGCCUUCCUUGGUCCGUGGCCUGAGGUGAGGCCACACAGGGUGGUGAUGGCCUGCCCUUGCUGGAGCACGUGCAGCUUCUGCGUCAUGAGCUUGGAGACCAGGGCCACGCUCUGUGUUGUCAUCUGUGCUGCUUCCCUGUCCCCAGGGCUACUUAGCCCCUUCGGGAACUGCCCCUUCCUGCAGGGGUGACAGGGAUCCCUCCCUGAGGCAGAACUCCACCCCCGAAGCCCAUGUGGCCCUUCCCUGGCAUGUGCUCCCUUGCCAAGGGAGCUACCAUGGAAGGUGUCUCAUGGGUUCCUGGGGGCUGCCUCUGAGCUGUGCCGGCUGUUCUCCACAUGAGGGCCCUGGCAGACGGACCACUGGGCUGGAAUCCAUGCUCUGCACCCUGGGCUGGGCUGUUCUGUCCAGAGGAAGGGGCUCCCCCUCCCACUUCUCACAAAGGGACCCUGUGGACGAGCAGGGGCAGGGGAGCCUGGCACAGCCCAGGCGGGGCAGGCUCUUCUCCCUGUAGUGCCCAGAUUAUGACGAGUGACCCGGUUCCUGGGCUGCUGUUACGUGUGCGGGGCUCUGAGCUGCUUCUGCAGGUUCUGCUGCAACCACAGUAUUAGGGUGCAAGGAACAUGGGGUGAGGGCCUUGGAGCUGCCGGGGCUCUUGGAGCUUUGUCCUUAGCGCUUGCCAGCUUUGGAGAACUUGCCUGCAGUUCCCAGUGUGGCUGAGAGUACAGACUUGAAGGACACACAGAGAAAGGGCAAGGUCGAGCUUGGCCUUUGCAUCUGGAUGGUGGCCAGGCUGUUGGCCACACCCUGGGGGUAGUUUAUGUGACAGCUGUUGCCUCCACUGGUUGGGGCAGGACUGCUGGGUGGUAGUACUGUGGAGAGCUCACGUUGGCUUCACUGCAAGGCCCGCAGUUGCCCCUCAUGUCUGUUUCUCUACUUGUCCAUCUGGAAACUCUACCCAAGCUCCAAGACUCAGCCCAAAGUCUCCUCCUCUGUGAAACCACCCUGCCCGUAGCCUGACUCUCCAGGGAGAAUUAAUUACUUUUAGAAGAAACACACACUCAUUCCACCUUCCGAGGACAGCAUCUUGCUCUAGUGACUCAGUCUGGGAAAGACAAAAACUGUGAUUUGAUGGAGUGAUUGUUGGUGCUCUUGGCAGUGUGUGUGUGUGUGUGUGUGCACGUGGAGGUUGUGUGUAUACAUGUGUAUGUAUGCAUGUGUGUACCAGCACACACACAGGAAAGUGCAUGGGUAGGCUUAGUAAUCUAGAACCUCUUAAGCAUCACCCAGGGCUUGUGAUGGGGCCUGUUGAUUUAUCGUCUUAUCAUGAUGUUUUUACCUGAAACUAUUUUCAGCUCGAUUUCUGUUUGACAGGGUACCGAGUGAGACCCAGCUGACCUGGAAAAUGACAGGGACACUUUUUAUCCUUCCAACUUAACCUUUCCGUCCUGACUUAACCUUUCCCUCUUUGACACAAAUGAAGAAAUUAGGGCUCUUGACUGCUACUGAUUUAAGGGGAUUACAGAGGCACUGCCAGCGAGCAUGAGCACAAGAGUUUAGCGCCUCUCGGCAGCUGAGAGAGGAUGCUGCAUACUUGGGGCCUGGGACCUCCGAGAAGACCUUCUUCAGCCGAAAGCACACCUUAUUCUUGUCCCAGUUGAAGGCUUCCCAACGGUCUUCAUGUGGCACUUGCUGUGUGCCAGGCCCCACUCUGGGCACUUGGUUUAUUUAAUUCUAACCAUGGUCCUAGGUGAUGGGCGCUGGUAUGACUGUGGGAAAGGGACAAGGUGGGAGAUGUGAACGAACUUCCGGAGCCCUCCCUCGGGCAGCCUAGCUCCCCGCCUCCUCCAACACCUUCUGUUGCUUUUCCAGCACAGCCAGUACUGGGCUCUUGGGUUCGAGCACGGGGCGGGGUGAAGGGUGCUGGGAGGUCACAUUCUUGCUUCCCAGCACUGAAGACUGGAAGAAUGAAUGGCACAGAUGAACAAGGCCGUCCUGCAUCCGCCGCUCACUAGAGGCUUCACAGCUGCGUAGGGACACAGGACAUCUGUACAAUAAAUACCAAUGGUAUUAGUGCCCUAGGGCUGCAGGAACAAAGCACCACAGACUGGGGGUGCUGGAACAGCAGAAACUCAGGCUCUCCCAUUUCUGGAUGCCGGAAGUCCAAAAUCUAGUGUCGGCAGGGCUGUGUCCUCUCUGAGGUUUCCAGGGGAGGAGGCUUCCUUGCUUCUCUGGCUUCUGGUGGUGGCUGGCAAUGCUCGGCAUUCCUUGGCUUAUGGACGCAGCACUGAAAUUGCAGCCCUUAUCUUCAUGUGGCCUUCCUUGUGGCGCUCUGUGUCCAAAUGUCCCUCUCCUCUAAGGACACCAGUCAUCGGAUUAGGCCAGCUCUAAUCCGGUGUGCCUCAUCUUGAUUUAACUAACUACAUCUGCAAAGACACUAUUUCCAGAUUACGUCACGUUCCGAGGUUCCUGGUGGACGUGAAUUUUUGGAAGACGCUGUCCAACCUGGGACACCAGCCAGCCCCUCUCUGGCUCCCUCAGUCCCUCCACCCUUCGGAAGUGGUAAAUGGUGGCUUGCUAACAGCGCCUGUAGCAGCCACCUCCUGGUGAUGGCAAAGGAAGGGCCCUCUCAGUCAUAGGGGCCAAUGGCGAGGAGGACCUGGGACGUGGUGCACUGAGCAUUUUCCCUUCUCAGCAGCUCACUCCUUUGUGUGUCUGUGAUGCGAAGGCUGUGACAUCAGUCAGCCUCAUGGAGAACUGGAACAACGGGCUCUGUGUCUUUGGAGAACGCGUCAAGACCAGGGCCUCUUCCCCUGCUCCCAUGGUUCCCAGCGUUCUUGUCUCCUGAGAGAGGAUGUAGUGGGUGUCAUGUUCAGCAUCGCAACUGGCCUCCGUGGAAACCAGGGUGGAGCUCAGACGGGUGUGGGGGGAGCAUGUGACUGAGCUCCUUCCCACUCUCUCUCCGGCACACACGGAGUCAGUGUAGGGAGGUGAUGGGUAAGGGCUUGAGUUUUGGGGUUGCACAGCUUGUGGGGACCCCACCUCAUUUCCUAGCUAGGCAGACCUGGCCCAGUGUCUGACCUUUCCCAUCUGUAAAUUAGGGGUGCAAAUAGCAUCCACCUCCGGGGUGUGGUGAAGGUGGAGCCAGUACCCAGCCAGUCCAGCUCUUUUUUGUUAGGAUUGCCCCACUGCGGCCACACCCUUCCAUCUGCCCGCUCCUGUUCCCGCAGGUAGACUCAGCCUGUGGGAUUCUGGCCUGGCUUCCCGGCAGCAAGCAGGAGCUUCAGAUGCUCAUUCCCGCCGCGGUCGGCUGUGGCGGCGACUCAUACCCGUUUCCGCUCGAAUGAUGCCAGCUGUCCUGCUGCGCCACCUUCCUCUGUCCUCGCAUCCGCUGAUGGGAUUUCCGGUCGCUUCCACUUUGUGGCUCUUUUGAAGAAUGCCGCUAGGAACAUUCACACGCAGGUUCUUGGCCAUAAAAUAUGGCUUUUGGAAAAAUAAAGCUGAGACUUGGAGUUCACGGUGGGGGCUCCCCCAUCUGUGAACAGAAGCAGAAGUUUGGAACUGCCUUCUUUACUGCUCGAGAGGGAAAACUUGAGUGAAAACCAGGAUGCUGGCGAAUGUUGAGUAGCUAAGCUGCACAGGAAAUACCACUUGAUGACCUGCGAUCUGGGGAAGCCGCGCCAGGGCUCUGCGAAGCUGCGGACGAGGGAGGCGUCAGUGUGGGGGCUGCAGCUCAGCUCCGGGGGGGACGCGCCUUUCUCCACGGGACCUGGGGCUCAGGUGCUCACGAGGCUGGGGCGCUGCAGGCCACCCGCAGGGGAAACUGAGGCCCUCCAUUUUGUGGGGCUGGAAGACCUUUCCUUCCAAAAGCAGGUGUAGGCGGGAGCACCUGUGCAGUCCCUCUGUUCAGAUCCUCACCCACUUUUAAAUCAGGAAACAGCAGAUGAAAUGCACAGUGUGAAGGACAAGGAUUCUGCUGAGAGAAUUGCUCCGAGGGUUGCUCAAGUGAUCAUGGGAAAUAAUGCAUCAAACCAUUCUUUAGAUGCAGCUCAGGUGUGCCUUUUCUUCGCCUGUGCCCAUCCACCUGAGAUGGACCAUAACCAUAAAAGUCAGAAGGCACUGACCCUUCAGGACGUGACAGGGUUAAAAGAUGCUGGAGGGAAAGUCUGUCAUUGACUUUUAUUCACUUCCUUUCUCCAUUCUGCCAUUUGGAAGAAGGUAAGCAACUUAACACUAUUUUAGACCAUAUGUUGUAAACUAGCAGGAAAAUGCCUUUGAGCUGAUGAUGGUGGCCCGAACACAGUGAACCUGUCUUAAAUCCCUGCUUUAAACCCUUAAGGGUGUCACUUACAAGAGAUACUAUUUGAAGUCUUCCCAUGCAUGUGUAGGGUGGGGGGAGUACCAACAGCUCAUCGAAUGGGCUCCAUUUGAAAGAUCUGGAUGGUUGCCUUUAUUUGUAACUAGUUUCUUUUCUUUUUUUUUUUUUCCUUGAG